rnacentral:rRNA from 1 species
UACAGAGGUCCCAAGCGUUGUUCGGAUUCACUGGGCGUAAAGGGUGCGUAGGUGGCUGGGUAAGUUUGAUGUGAAAUCUCCGGGCUUAACCCGGAAAAUGCAUUGAAUACUAUCCAGCUAGAGGUUUGGAGGGGGGACUGGAAUUCUUGGUGUAGCAGUGAAAUGCGUAGAUAUCAAGAGGAACACCAGUGGCGAAGGCGAGUCCCUGGACAAAUCCUGACACUGAGGCACGAAAGCUAGGGGAGCAAACAGG